GGAAGUGUGGCCGAGCGGUUGAAGGCACUAGUCUUGAAAACUAGCGAGGGUGAGAGCCCUUCGUGAGUUCGAAUCUCACCGCUUCCGCCA
rnacentral:tRNA from 2 species